CGAGCAGGCUGAGCAGUCGCGGGUAACCGCCCGAAAGGGCCUAUCCGAGGAAAGUCCGAGCUCCACAGGGCAAGAAUAACGGCUAACGGCCGCCGGGGGUGACCCCAGGGAUAGUGCAACAGAGAGAUACCGCCUGUACUUUUGUGCAGGUAAGGCUGGAAAGGCGGGGUAAGAGCCCACCAGCGCGCGGGAGACCGCGCGGCUAUGUAAACCCUAUUCGGAGCAACACCGGAAUGGGACAAAUGCGUCGGCCCGGCGCGUCCCGAACAGGUGGCACUGAGCUGCGGCGGUAACGCCCAGCCAAGAUAGAUGACUGUUCACGACAGAACUCGGCUUACAGGCCUGGUCGCAAC
rnacentral:RNase_P_RNA from 1 species